CACACCCUCUUCGAGAGGCAUAGGUAGUCACAACCUUUCUCACAGGGUGGAAAUGUCACAGCUUUAAGGUGAGAGGUGUGGACUUAUCGGUUGCAUUAUUUGGGGAUUUUCUGUUAUCAUUUUAAAUACACAGCCAGAUGCACCAUGUCACUUUGAUCCUGAAAGCAAUCAAAGAUAAGGAACUCAAGGAAAUGCAGAGAUACCACCAAUGCUAUCUCUCCACAAUCUUUUGAACCCAUAGCAGGAAAAUGGAUCCUUUUCCAGGCCAACAUCUGCACCACUGAGGAUACAGUUACAGCCAAUUCUAAUGGUAGGUCACAUUUUUUCCAUGAAGCCCAGAAGUACAAGAUACCUGAAACAACCACUUUUCAGCUCUGUUAUGGGAAGACAAUAUCUGAUGAAUGUGGAGAAGAAUCCUGGAUGGAAUAGGACCCGCUCUUGGAGUUUCAUAACCGGCUAUUGUUGUUUGGCACGCCAAGGGCUCAGCCUAAGAUUCUGACUCGUAUUUGGAAGCCUAGGAUCUCGAGGCUCUGGAGACGGGCGGAUUGAGGGUCAAUGUCACUGUAGGCCACCCGUAUGUCGUUGGAAGAGUUGGAAUAUUUAUGACUGUGUCUGGAAACCCGAGAUCUUUGAGAUCUUCGGGCACAGAGCUUGAAAAAAGCCACAUAACGGACUUUUAACAUCGUAAAUCAGUGAGUUGUUUGUUUUGUCUCCCUGCUCGCUGGGAAAAUGGAGACACCUCUUUCUCCCUUAUUAGGGAGAGAGAGAACCUGUGGGAUGUUGAAUACCGGGUGAAACGCGAAGUCUUUGGAGUACUGCAAGUCUGAGUCUUUGCUGUUGCUUUGCUCAUGCUUGAGUGCUCGGUGGCGGGUGCUGAUACUUUUUUUC